rnacentral:rRNA from 1 species
GACGAACGCUGGCGGCGUGCCUAACACAUGCAAGUCGAGCGGAGGCGGCGGAGAGCCCAGCGCUGGGAAGGAGACUGCUGUAGCGGCGAACGGGUGAGUAACACGUGGGCAAUCUGCCCUAUGGAGCGGGAUAACAGACCGAAAGGCCUGCUAAUACCGCAUGAGGCCGUACUCUCGCAGGGGAGAACGGUCAAAGGGGAAACCCGCCGGCGGAGGAGCCCGCGUCCCAUUAGCUAGUUGGCGGUGUAACGGACCACCAAGGCGAGGAUGGGUAGCCGGCCUGAGAGGGUGAACGGCCACAUUGGGACUGAGACACGGCCCAGACUCCUACGGGGGGCAGCAGUGAGGGAUUUUCGGCAAUGGGCGAAAGCCUGACCGAGCGACGCCGCGUGAGCGAAGAAGGCCUUCGGGUCGUAAAGCUCUGUCUAGGGGGAAGAGAGAGGACGGUACCCCUGGAGGAAGCCACGGCUAACUACGUGCCAGCAGCCGCCGUAAGAC